rnacentral:rRNA from 1 species
GGCGGUAUGCUCUCACAUGCAAGUCGUACGAGAGUUUUUAAUUCAAGUGGCGGACGGGUGAGUAACACGUAAGAAUUUGCCUCUAGGAGGGGGACAACAACUGGAAACGGUUGCUAAUACCCCAUAUGCUUCCGAGUGAAAUGGAAUUUUCCGCCUAGAGAGAAGCUUGCGGCUGAUUAGCUUGUUGGUAAGGUAAUGGCUUACCAAGGCGACGAUCAGUAUCUGGUUUGAGAGGACGAUCAGACACACUGGAACUGAGACACGGUCCAGACUCCUACGGGAGGCAGCAGUGGGGAAUUUUCCGCAAUGGGCGAAAGCCUGACGGAGCAAUACCGCGUGAGGGAUGACGGCCUAUGGGUUGUAAACCUCUUUUUUCAGGGAGGAAUAAAAUGACGUGUACCUGAAGAAUAAGCAUCGGCUAACUCCGUGCCAGCAGCCGCGGUAAGACGGAGGAUGCAAGUGUUAUCCGGAAUCACUGGGCGUAAAGCGUCUGUAGGUGGUUUGAUAAGUCAACUGUUAAAUCUUGAGGCUCAACCUCAAAAUCGCAGUCGAAACUAUUAGACUAGAGUAUAGUAGGGGUAAAGGGAAUUUCCAGUGGAGCGGUGAAAUGCGUAGAGAUUGGAAAGAACACCGAUGGCGAAGGCACUUUACUGGGCUAUUACUGACACUCAGAGACGAAAGCUAGGGUAGCAAAUGGGAUUAGAUACCCCAGUAGUCCUAGCCCGUAAAACAAUGG